GUUCGAUACGAUGCGGUUUUGGGGAUCCGAAGCUGAGCUCUCGCCACUCUCGGUGCUCCAUUUUGGCUCAAGACACCUCGAUCAGAUCGAGUCGAUCGACUUCAAGUUGGAUCUUUCAUGGAAAGUGUCGGUGUUCGUCUCUGUCUCUUUUUAUACAUCAAUUUUGACCCGGAAACUUUUAGCUAAGGUUUUCGGUAGUUCUAGAAACCCUGGGGUUUGAAUUCUAUUUCGUCCAGGCAUCACCCUCUUGCGCGGAGAGAGAAGCGCGGGCGUCGGAUGGCGGCCGUUGACGUUCACAUUGGCUCCCCAUAGGGAGGAUCUGAUGAGAAACCCCACCACAUUUUCGUCCUAGAUAAAAACCUUUAACAGGUAUCAGUGCACUUUGGAAGUCCUACGAUAAGCCCGGAACGAUUCCUGGAGUUCCUAGAAAGAAAUACUAGUCGAUGGUGAUCUUUGUCUGCUUAAGGUAUAUGCUGAACCCAAGCAUCAAACAAAUUUCCUGAUAGAGUUUUGUUCUUGGGCAGUGUUUUAAAGCCAUUUUGUAUCAUGAACAUGAAUGAAACUUUAGUUAGUGGCCCGUGACAUGAAAUAGUUGGGGCAUUAUGUGUAUAAACAGCAUAAAUUUUUAUUAGUGUAUGUGACAUCGCCAUAGUCGGAAAUCACAAGUCAAAUUGUCGGGACAUUGCCAACUCUUAGUCCAUCUACGUAAUGUGUAUAUAUGUACUUUUUCUUCAAACCAUAGUCAGUUACCAAGGAUCUUUUUUUUUUCCUUGAUGAAUUAUGACUGUCUAAGGCAAUCAACUUAAAUUUGGGCUCAAACCAAUAAUUAUCUUUGACAAAAUUAUUCUCUUGUUUAAUUCAACAAUAUAUGAGCUUGACAAAAAGGAAGAGUUUUGAGUUUCCGACAAAAGGCUGUGAAUGGAUUUCGUGAUUUGCAUUUGGAUAAGUUGUUUAGUUGUCUUUAUUUUAAAUUAUUUAAGAAUCUUAAUGUUUUUCGAAACUAGGAUUUUUUCCAGUUGGAAGUCCUUUUAAUCUUUCUUCCAAUUUAACUAAUUUUGAUAUUCAACACCUUUCUUCCAGUUCCAAUUUCUCUUACAUUAACAAUAACAGGUCAUGUUGAAGUGGGGGAAUAUAUUGAAGUGUUUGCAGCAUAUAUUGAAGUGUAUAAUUUGAGCAAUGCAUCAUCAGGUUAUGCACAUUAAAGUGUCUUUAUUGUUAGCAGUUCUGAGUGUACUUGCAAUGAUAGUUUGAGUUGGUUUCUUAUUUGUGUCAUAAUUUCCCAUCUUAUGGGACAAGACGAAGUCGAUUAUCUCUGGAGCAUUAUUGCUUAAAUUUAGAUUUUUCAUCCUUUGGUCUAAAGAUGUAGAACUACAACUUUAUAAUCCUAUUUCUUAACAUGGCUAAUACUAUAUUGUUACAGCUACUCCCCAACUAUUGUUUAUUGCCUCCCAUUCAUCUAUUGUCUUCUGAGUUUCUGUUUGAUUUUCAUCUUAAUUUUGUUUUAACACUUAUGUUGCUUGUAACCUGCAUGGUGGAGCUUCAACUAUAUACCAUCUGAGGAGUCUUUGUUAUGGAUUUCACCACCCUCCAACAUGUACAGAUAGGUAUGCUGGAGAAUCAAGAUCGCCGUACCGGUCCCUAUAAUGGACUCCGUUUCACUUCUCUCUGUCGCAGUUCUGAUUACCAGAUAUCAUCAAGCCCUUCAACGAGCCUUAUCAUCAAAAUAGUUUCUGAUCGUGGAGUAGGAUCAUCCAUUGCUGGAAUUUACUUGGUUCCCAUAAGCACUGAGGACCAUUAUCCAUGACGGUGAAGAUCUUUUGGUAACGUGUCAAUAAAUUAGCUGGAGUUCUUUUUCGCUUUAUGGUGCUGUGACAGGGCUGGAAGGAAACAAUUGCCCUGCCCACCCAUAUUGACCCCGCAGAACACAUCACAAGCAGUGGGGCAUGGCCUUCUGAGAGGGCAACAUCACAUUGCUUUCAAAUAUCUGUGUCCAGAUCAGCCAGAUGAGAUGACCACUCUUUGCAUCCCGAAAGAGGAGUCAAAAGGACAUGAGAAUGCGCUGAAGUCUUUUGGUGAAAGAGAUGUGAGAGCUUGGAAUCCUAUCCGAAGUUUCAGAGUGGGUGAAAAAGAAAGGAAGGAAUUGGGCAAAGGCAAAAGAGGGGGUGUGUGGGGGAGAUGGAGGAAUCCUCUACCAAAAGCUAAGAAACAAAGCUGGUUGACAAGAGCAACGGGUAAAAGGGCUUCAUCCCAUUGGAGGUUUGGCAUCAAGUGUUAGGAAUGUAUCACAUCAAUCAGAGUUCUCUCUUAUUCUUAGGAAGAAGUUAGAUCCCUAAAUGUUGGUACUAAGAAAAUGGCCAUUGAACCGGCAAGCCCAAGAUGUGAAGAUUUGCAAGGAUAUGGGGACAGCAUCAUGCUGGCUGUUAUGAGUCCCUGUCAUGUCCUCAAAGAAUAAUAUGAAUUGGUCAUAUCUUCUUCACCCAUCCAUGUCAGGUUGAAGGAAUUCCCUGCAAAUGGCCAACUCUUGAACAACCAUCGCAUUCUGAGGACCACCAGGGGGUGGGCAUGAGGAAAUGGAGAAAGAUGCAGGACUCGGUGGAUGACUUGUGUCAUCAGGACUAACAGUGGAUGGGGACAAUAAUUGCCCUCAUGCCUCCCAUUUAAAGCAGAGAUGGUGAGCGGGAAGGAGGAGGUUGGGGGAUAUCUUUCAGGCUGAAGAUGACAAACCGGGCAGGCAUGAUUGUGUGAAAUGGAGACGGCAGCAACUCCAAAUCGAAGGCACUUGAAAGCAACUUGUGUCGAAAGCUUCCCUGAAAGAGACCUGCUGUUCUGGUCAUGUACCCUGGAACAACCUGGCAGCAAAGCCACUCCACGAUACAGGGUGCAGCAUCACUUCCCAACAUCUCAAAAUGAUAGCAGUUUGGUGCUGGAUUAACUUGGAGCUCACAUGAUCUAUCUAACACAUCAGGAGACCACUAUCACAAGUAUGGGGGCUUCAUCUUAAAGCAGAAACAGCUGCCAUGUUGGCCCACAUUUUGUUGAUUGAGAUGGAGAGAUUGGAAACAUGGUUUAAUGGUGGACAUGUUUUUCCAUGGGAAACCAACUACAGAUAUGCUUGCAAAGCCAAGGGGGGCAACAAAAUGACUUCCAAUCUCACUGGUAUUUACUCCCUAACCCUAACCCUCUUCUAUCACUCAAUUACUGCACAGGAUAUUAAUAUCUUUUAGAAUCAAUUACUUGUCCGCUGAGUUCUUCUAUUUUACACUUUCUAUUUUGGAUGCUCACAAAUUAUCUGGUUUAGGUCCUCAUAUGAUAUAUAUUUCAUUAUAGCUUUGCCAUCUACCAAUAAGCUUCAAUCACUUUUAGUUGGUUCAUAUGGAUAAAAGUAUUGCAAGUACUAUAUGUAUGCUCUUUUGGUGGUGUCAUAAGAGCGUGGACCAUAUGAGAACAGUUAAGAGAGAGGGUCAAAUUAAUACUCCCAUAAAUUAAAUGAUGGUGGUCAUUAACUGUAUAUUCAUCAAAGUUUGUACUUGUCCUGAUGAGCAUGGAAUUUUUUUUUUUUUUGGAACCAAAUGCUUAAUGGCUUCGUUUGAUUGUGAUUUAUUACCCAACAUAUCUUAGACAAGCCAAAGCCACCUAAUCUCAACUGUUGCUCAUUACAACCUUCAUCAACAAAAUCCUAAUAACCCUACUAGAAUUCACUAACCAGUUUGUGAAUAAUGAUGAUGAUGGAUGACGCUAGAAAAAGGCUAAUUGUAGUUGGAACUUAAUCAAGAGCAUGUGACACAUAUCCAUUGUCAUAUAAUAUUCAACAAAUAAUACAGAUUGCAAAAUUAACUUACAAUAGAACAUUGAAAGAUUAAAAGGGGAAUGGAGACCAUAAGUAGAUGAAUCUUAAGAUUUUAGCCGAAGCGUAGGUAGUUUCUUCUCUUGCAGCUAGCAAUUGUGAGGAUGGAGGAAAAAGUGAAAGAGAAAUGGGAACUCAAAGACUUGUAAUACCAGGGAUUAGAUGACGCUCGACGAUUACACCCCAUGCUUCCCACCGUGGCCCGCAACGGUGCUGUGGGGGCUCACCUGACCCGGUCCCACCAGAUCAGUGCCCGUAAUGAUGGCGGUAGAUUUGGAGGGUCGCGAUCAUUUCGGCAACGGUGGGUCGGUGUCUUCGCCACGCCUGACAUCUUGCGUUGUCUUCUACCUGCGUUAUCCUGCGUCCACACUCUGCCAUCAAUGCAAGAUAUCAUUUCCCCACCUCGAAACCCUUAUCGACGGUGGCCCGAAGCAGCCAGGCGUGUCUUCACCGCCUCCCAUGUAUCUCUGUGGUCGUAUUACGAGUUCCACAUCAUCAUCUCCUUUACAUUUGUGUUCCUGUGCCAGGCCCUAGAUGCUCUGCUGCAUCUCCAAUGGCCAUGGAUUCAGAGCCUUCCAUGGACUAUUCACUGUUCCCUACCGCAUCAAUCAUACGCCCGGAACUCCACAUGGUGUGGGUGCUCAUGGAGGCCGUGGUCCUCCCUCUCUAUCUCUGUCUCUCUCUCUCUGUCUUUCUCUCAUUCACACACGUCCAUGGCCAUCCUAACCGACCUCGCUGGAAUACUUACAAACACUUGGUGAACGCAAGCCUGCCUUUUCCUGGGCAGCAGACGGGUGUAUAAUCAGUAGAAUCUCACUCAUGAGCGGAAUAGUAUUGCCAGCAGCGGUGGUUCAGCCUCCCAUGGCGUUAAAAGAGAAAAAGUAAAGAUUAUAUUACUCGGUACCAAAAUCUAAAAAGGUCUCGGAUUCUUGUGGUGCAGUGCCUGCGUCAUGAAUAAUGGUUUCCGUGGACGGAGGUGAACGGGCGGCUUCUGCGCAAGAGAAGCGAGGGAGAGGAACGUGAUGAUGGCCAUGCUCACGCUGUCGAUUACGACAAAGCGAGACGAAGACAAGCUGCGGAGCAGCAGCGGAAAAGCUGCUGCGCUGUAUCGUUCCGGUCUGGAUCUGAUUCCAAGAGACGGAGCGUCAACAACGCACGCUGUUGCCGUGCACUGUGCGGGUCAGCAAUCCAUUCUAUGCUUUUGGGUCGCUGUAAUCCACGAGCUAACUGCUGGGUAUUGGAUAGACCGUCACUGAUUCCGAGAAAGAGAAGCAUAGAAGAAAGGGCAGAUGUUGUGUUGUGGGAAGGCAUCUUUCUGCUCGUUGAUCCCUCUUUUGGGGAAACCUCCUUCAGCCAAUUGAUCUCCAGCAACCUGUUCUACGCUUCCCAUGUAGGCACAGAGCAGCACGACCACCACCUCCAUCCCCACCUUCACCUCGUCUCAGCUCAGGAUUACAGUGCCAGCAAUCGAUCCUGGUUGAGCGUGACAAUGACUCCACCCAUGAAACACAAGGCACCCACCCCCACUUGGUCAAAAGCUGGGUCGUAAGAAGAUAAAGCCUGUCACUGCCUCCAACGGGGAGCUGCUGCCUUGAGCAUAUAUCUUCGCCCCCCGGUGGCUUAAAAUUGGGUGAGAUGGGGACAGCUCCAAUUCCAAGGCAAAGCAAAGCUCAGCAGACCUCUGCAACUUUUCUUUUGGUGGUGACUUCCUGGUUGCAACAUCAAAAGGCCGGCCGGCAUUAAAGAAAGAGAAGCUGUGGCCACGAGCUACAAGACAUGGCGGAGUUUCUCCAGACAAGUCAACUGAUCUCUGCCGAGCCCACCGGAGAAAGCCGAAAAGCAAUUCGACGAAAGUCUGAUCCCCACCCCCCGAGAAAAGAGGGGGAAAGGGAUAUGCUGCUCAUCUCGAGGCCUCCCCCUUUCUCGAUACGGAUAUGUGCUUCGCCGUCCACAUCCAUCUCGAGGAAGAGGUGGAUGCAGAGUAAAUGCUUGUUUAAAUGCUCGCUCGCUCGCUCGCUGCAGGGAUUCGCAGGUGGCAGAUAAAGGUCGCCGCUUUGUCUUUUGUCUACCGAGCCAAGACAAAGGGACGCAUCGUUGAAGCCAUCGAUGCGGCGGGUUUGCUGAUC